GUAGCGGAUAGCUUAAUUGGUAAAGCACCCACCUUGCCGUUAAGGGGCGAUUUAUUGAGGGUUAUCGUAGAAAAAUAACACCCUUGAUUCAAACUAGAUGCUCCCUUCAACUCCUGCUCCGCUACACCA
rnacentral:tRNA from 2 species